rfam:Myotis brandtii contig180921, whole genome shotgun sequence.
GCCCGUGUUGCUAAAUGGUUAGAGUGCCAGCCUUUAAACCAAAUAGUCAUGGGUUCAAUUCCCGGUCAAGGGCA